rnacentral:rRNA from 1 species
CCCUUAGAUGUUCUGGGCCGCACACGCGCUACACUGAAGGAGGCAGCGUGUACUCCUGGAGCGAAAGAUUUGGGUAACCCGCGAAUCUCCUUCGUGCUAGGGAUUGAGGUUUGCAAUUAUCCUUCAUGAACGAGGAAUUCCCAGUAAGUGCAAGUCAUAAGCUUGCGCUGACUACGUCCCUGCCCUUUGUACACACCGCCCGUCGCUACUACCGAUUGAAUGAUUUAGUGAGGACUUCGGACUGGGACCGAUGCGGCUUUCGGGCUGCGUCGGUAUUCUGGAAAGAUGUCCAAACUGUAUCAUUUAGAGGAAGUAAAANUCGUANCA